AUGCACAUGUUGACAGCAGCUAUACUGAAGUUGGAAGGAUACAGAGAAAAUUAGCAAGGCCCUAUGCAAGGAUGGCACCCAAAUUCCUGAAGCAGUCCACAUUUGU
ensembl:snRNA LOC120096101 U6 spliceosomal RNA